GGUUGUAAUUUGAUUUGAUCAAAUGUUGUAAAAGAGCAUAAGCUCUUCUUUACUUUAAAGUAAUUUGUUUUAUGCAAAUGUUGUAAAGAGCAUAAGCUCUUCUUUACUUUGAAGUACUUCUUUCUUGCUUUAUUUGAUAUGCAUGAAAAUGAGGUAGUUGGGUCCAACGCCCCUAAGACAACACGCCUUAAUGUGAUUAAACGCGUAACUAAAAUCAAUCACCAUCCCUAGACCGAGAUUCAACACUAAGGCUCGUGUUGAAUCUAAACAAAGGUUCAUAGUCAUCCUAAGGCCCUAAGGCAACUAUAUAGUCCAUC
rnacentral:lncRNA from 1 species